rnacentral:rRNA from 1 species
AGCAGUAGCCGCGGGAAUACGUAGGUGGCAAGCGUUGUCCGGAAUUAUUGGGCGUAAAGGGCUCGCAGGCGGUUUCUUAAGUCUGAUGUGAAAGCCCCCGGCUCAACCGGGGAGGGUCAUUGGAAACUGGGAAACUUGAGUGCAGAAGAGGAGAGUGGAAUUCCACGUGUAGCGGUGAAAUGCGUAGAGAUGUGGAGGAACACCAGUGGCGAAGGCGACUCUCUGGUCUGUAACUGACGCUGAGGAGCGAAAGCGUGGGGAGCGAACAGGAUUAGAUACCCGCGUAGUCCCUGUCUCUUAUAU